UUUUUGGAGAGUUUGAUCCUGGCUCAGGACGAACGCUGGCGGCGUGCCUAACACAUGCAAGUCGAACGGAGAAUUUCAAUAAGUUUACUUAGAGAAGUUUUUAGUGGCGGACGGGUGAGUAACGCGUGGGUAACCUACCCAUAAAGCCGGGACAACCCUUGGAAACGAGGGCUAAUACCGGAUAAUCUUA
rnacentral:ncRNA from 1 species